UACGAAGGGGGCUAGCGUUGCUCGGAAUCACUGGGCGUAAAGCGCACGUAGGCGGCUUUCUAAGUCAGGGGUGAAAUCCUGGAGCUCAACUCCAGAACUGCCUUUGAUACUGAGGAGUUUGAGUCCGGGAGAGGUGAGUGGAACUGCGAGUGUAGAGGUGAAAUUCGUAGAUAUUCGCAAGAACACCAGUGGCGAAGGCGGCUCACUGGCCCGGUACUGACGCUGAGGUGCGAAAGCGUGGGGAGCAAACAGG
rnacentral:rRNA from 1 species